rnacentral:rRNA from 1 species
AGUGAACGCUGGCGGUAGGCCUAACACAUGCAAGUCGAACGGCAGCACAGUAAGAGCUUGCUCUUACGGGUGGCGAGUGGCGGACGGGUGAGGAAUACAUCGGAAUCUACUUUUUCGUGGGGGAUAACGUAGGGAAACUUACGCUAAUACCGCAUACGACCUACGGGUGAAAGCAGGGGAUCUUCGGACCUUGCGCGAUUGAAUGAGCCGAUGUCGGAUUAGCUAGUUGGCGGGGUAAAGGCCCACCAAGGCGACGAUCCGUAGCUGGGCUGAGAGGAUGAUCAGCCACACUGGAACUGAGACACGGUCCAGACUCCUACGGGAGGCAGCAGUGGGGAAUAUUGGACAAUGGGCGCAAGCCUGAUCCAGCCAUACCGCGUGGGUGAAGAAGGCCUUCGGGUUGUAAAGCCCUUUUGUUGGGAAAGAAAAGCAGCAGGUUAAUACCCCGCUGUUCUGGCGGUACCCAAAGAAUAAGCACCGGCUAACUUCGUG